CUUGACCUUACUAUUGAAGGCUUAGCUGUUUUGUAUAAGAUGAUUCAUGAUAACUCGACGGAUCGCACGACCCUCGUGCCGACGAUGCAUCAUUCAAAUUUCUACCCUAUCAACUUUCGAUGGUAGGAUAGUGGCGUACUAUGGUAGUCGGUGACGGAGAAUUAGGGUUCGAUUCUGGAGAGGGAGCCUGAGAAAUGGCUACCACAUCCAAGGAAGGCAGUAGGCGCGCAAAUUACCCAAUCCUGACACGAGGAGGUAGUGACAAUAAAUAACAAUACCGGGCAUUUUUAAAGAGGCAUGCUUAUGGAUUUCUUUGAAGAGGUCAAG
rnacentral:rRNA from 1 species